rnacentral:rRNA from 1 species
CAUAGCCUUUAGCACCACCAAACAGUAUUAAAGGUCACGCCUGCCCAGUGAUAACAUUUUUUAACGGCCGCGGUAUCCUAACCGUGCAAAGGUAGCGUAAUCACUUGUUCUCUAAAUAAGGACUAGUAUGAACGGCAACAUGAGGACCACCUUGUCUCCCACGCUAAGUCAAUGAAACUGAUCUUCCGGUCCAAAAGCCGGAAUGUACCUACAAGACGAGAAGACCCUGUGGAGCUUCAAAUUGCACCUCACCAAAAUCUGAGCCUGCAAUUUUUGGUUGGGGCGACCUUGGAGCAAAACAAAACCUCCAAAACACCAAACUUUAUAGGCCAUCACGCCGCAAGACCAGCUAACUCCUUCGACCCAAUAUAAUUGACUAAUGAACCAAGUUACCCCAGGGAUAACAGCGCAAUCUUCUUUUAGAGUCCCUAUCGACAAGAAGGUUACGACCUCGAUGUUGGAUCCGGAUACCCCAAUGGUGCAGCCGCUAUUAA